AAAAGUGUUGAGAGAGAAAAUGUAAGUUAGCCAGAGCUCGAGUGUAAACACCGCCGAUUUUUGGGAUUGUUUUCAAGCACUUAACAGAGAAAACUUGAUAUAGGUAAUAGUCAUGCGAUACUCAGCGAUAGUCAGAAAUAAUGACUUUCUUGAACGUAGAUAAACCUGAACCAUUAAGGAUUAUAAGGUGACUACUUAUUAAAAUACGUUUAUUUUUGUUAAAACAAGAAGAACGUUUCUGCUAAUGUGUUGGUUUUGUUUCGAUAAGUACUCAACCUAAGAUAGAACAUAUUAGACUUUUGAGAUAAUUGUGUUAAAUAAAUGCCCCCCAGUCAAUAAAGACAAGUGGAACUAUAUUGAUAUCAGGAUGCCGGGUGGACUUGUUGGUAGUGUGUCCAUAUGUAUGUAACAAUAAUUCAAAAAAGCCAAGGAGAAUGUAGAGAAAUGUUCUUAUUUUUCUUUUCCAAAGCAUCUUAAAGUUUGAAAAGAAUGUAUAAGAAAAUAUUAUCGCAUAUAUCUUAUGGCGAUACUACACUGUCCCUUCAUUAUACGUGUUGGCUGAUCUAGAUCUAUGAAAACACAGCAAUGAAAGUGAAAGGGCGAAGACAUGAAAAGAAGGUAAGCAGAUAAAAGAAAGGCGUCUGCCGACUGUUUACGCAAAAACAAAACAAAAAAUUAAGAAAACUGUGAAUUACGUA
rnacentral:lncRNA from 1 species